rnacentral:rRNA from 1 species
UACGUAGGGUGCGAGCGUUAAUCGGAAUUACUGGGCGUAAAGCGUGCGCAGGCGGUUUUGUAAGCCAGAUGUGAAAUCCCCGGGCUUAACCUGGGAAUGGCAUUUGGGACUGCAAGGCUGGAGUGCGGCAGAGGAGACUGGAAUUCCUGGUGUAGCGGUGAAAUGCGUAGAUAUCAAGAGGAACACCUGCGGCGAAGGCGGGUUGCUGGGCCGACACUGACGCUGAGGCGCGAAAGCGUGGGGAGCAAACAGG